rnacentral:tRNA from 1 species
AGCGGAUGUGACGGAAUUGGCAGACGUACCAGAUUUAGGUCCUGGCGAGAUUGUCUCAUGUGGGUUCAAGUCCCUCCAUCCGUAC